GCUCUCGUCGUUCAACGGAUAGGACAUCGGCUUGCGGAGCCGACAAUGCAGGUUCGAUUCCUGCCGAGAGCACCA
rnacentral:tRNA from 1 species